UAUAAGAGGUGUUAUUGGAGUUGAACCCACAUUAAAUCACUAAGAGUCAAUAUUUUAUAUUAUAUUUAGGAGCGAGUUAAGAGACUAUUGGAGAUGCUCUUAAUAUACUACAUUGUACAGAGCCUGUGCAAUCUACAAUUAUUAGUCAUUACAACAGUGGACAAUAUAAUACACACCUAUAGUUAUUAAUUACACAAAUAUAAAAUAAUGUUGUGAUGCAUUGAUGGCCUGCUGCUCCAUGUGAAUAUGUGCACGCUGCAGGCUUCCAGGUUCCACUUUUCAGCUUUCCAUCCAUGUGAUUUGCCAAAAGAGAUAUUAUUGUUAUUUACAUAUUUUACCCUUCUAACAGCUAUAAAACGGCUAUCUGUAAGGGCAAAAUUGACAACCAAUUUCUAACAGCUAUGUUUUCUUCCUUCAUGAAGUUCAUACAGAUCAAUAACAUAAAUAAUCUUCACUUUGUAUCUCAUUCUUUCUUCUCCCAAUCUUUCUUCACUUGGCAGGCAUGUUACUUUACUACGCCAUAAGUGCCCAUAUGUAACGUUUGUUUUGAAACGUUACCUUUAUUUCGUUACAAUAGCUAUAAUUUUUUAGUCUAGUGUAACGCUGGACAAUAAUUAUUACAAAGAUGGCUCCAGAGACAAGUCAAUCACAAAUAGGUCCUACAGGUUAUAUAUGGAACUAUGAGCAAGCAUUACAAAAACAUAUGCAGAUGAAACUAAUUAUCUCACAGGGAUUGCCAUUCAAUCAUUUCGAUAAUGAUGGAAUGACGAACAACAUAUAUCGUAGCCUUCAACUAAAAUAUCAAAAGGUCAGUAGAAUUACUAUCCAUCGUGUUGCAAUUAAAGGUUAUGUAAAAGUCAAAAAAUCCAUGAUAAAUUAUUUUGAAAAUUAUGAGGGUAAAGUUAGCUUAACAAGUUCAUACCGAAAAUACAGCCACAAUCCUCCAGACUACAGGUGGUAAGAAUUAAAUAUUAAUUGGAAAGUAGGUACCUCAUGAGUAUAACUCUUAAGAGGCACAGAUGCACAGUAAAAGCCCUUCCCAGAGACCGAGAUUCCGAGACCCACAUCCGCAAUCUUAAGAGGAACGUGAUGGCACACCAGAAUACCACCAUCCAGACUCCAGUCAUCCACUUAAAUGCAUUCAGCUUCUCAACGCCCUAAAUAAAACAAUCAGCACAUAAAAAAGAGAGACGAAACCCUAGAAAAGUCAAAAGAGGGAGUGAUAAAUGAACAAAAAACAAACCUAAUUCAACUCUCUCGAAGCAGACGACGUCGCAGGGGUCCGAAGCACGCCUUUCUGCUUGUAACCACACACUUGAGCCGAUUUGUUGAGCAAUUGGAUGAAGAUUAGGUGAUUUAUCAGCUCGAAUUAACCGCUCCAUUUCGUUUCCAGCGUAGACAGAGAGGUGACCGACCGGUACGCUGGUGGUCGUGGAUCGCCGAAGAUUCAGUGACAGGAAUGAUCUGAGCAGACGAGUCGAGCGUCGGCCGUCGAGCAUCGGAA
rnacentral:lncRNA from 1 species